GGUAUUUUAUCGCUUUGCAUGGUUUUUAGAAGAGCACAAUCACACAAGAGAAACCUACAUCAUAUAGGCACUGGCGUAACUAGAACGAUAAUUGAGGGGGGUGAAUAUCCAUGUAUUCAGUUCUGCUUGAUGGAUUUCUUUUCUUCAGCCAAGCUUCGCAAGCCUCAAAAUUCAGUCGAUAUCUGGUCUGUCAGAUUUUAACUUGGAAAAAUCCAUUGUUGGAGAAUAAAGCUGGAAAAGUAAUAAACACGACGUGUUGAAGUUAUCAACAGAGAUUUGAUUAUUCGGUUUACUGAAGCUGGCCAUAGAGCAGGUGGAAACAACCUGAUGCCCUUGUGGAUAUGAUUGUCUAUAUAAAAACUUGUUCUACAUCAUAAAUUACCUUCAAUCGACGAGUGAAAGUGAGGAUGAAAA